UACGUAGGGUGCGAGCGUUAAUCGGAAUUACUGGGCGUAAAGGGUGCGCAGGCGGUCCUGCAAGUCAGGCGUGAAAUCCCCGGGCUUAACCUGGGAAUGGCACUUGAAACUACGGGACUGGAGUAUGGCAGAGGGAGGUGGAAUUCCACGUGUAGCGGUGAAAUGCGUAGAGAUGUGGAGGAAUACCGGUGGCGAAGGCGGCAUCCUGGACCGACAUUGACGCUGAGGAGCGAAAGCUAGGGGAGCAAACGGG
rnacentral:rRNA from 1 species